rnacentral:rRNA from 1 species
GUAACGCGUAGUCAACCUACCCUAUGGACGGGGAUAACCUCGGGAAACUGAGAAUAAUACCCGAUAGAACAUUAUGCCUGGAAUGGUUUAUGUUUCAAAUAAUUUAUUGCCGUAGGAUGGGACUGCGGCCUAUCAGUUUGUUGGUGAGGUAAUGGCCCGCCAAGACUAUUACAGGUACGGGCUCUGAGAGGAGUAGCCCGGAGAUGGGUACUGAGACACGGACCCAGGCCCUAUGGGGCGCAGCAGGCGAGAAAACUUUGCAAUGUGCGAAAGCACGACAAGGUUAAUCCGAGUGGUUUCUGCUAAAGGAACCUUUUGUCAGUCCUAGAAACACUGAUGAAUAAGGGGUGGGCAAGUUCUGGUGU